rnacentral:misc_RNA from 1 species
ACGAAUGUUUUCAAAUCGCUCAGCUGGAAAUUAUAACCUAACAUUUUACGAGUCCGUGUAGACCAAUGGCCUUCUGAGUUAAUUGAUAAAAAUAAUGGCAAAUGGUUUACAUUUUGCUCACACUGAACCAUGGAACUCGUGUUGAAAAAUCAUCGAUUCAUAUUUCAUAACCGAAACAAAAUGUGGUCGAAAGUUUUGAAUUUCACUCCUCAAAUGCAAUGCAAACAUUUUAGAAUUUCAACGAGAUACUGUACAAGGCCUCUCGCUGGAAUAUUAACACGUUCAAAAAACUACUCGACACAAAUGCCAGAAGAAGCAAAAGAAUAUACUUUGUUCAAACAUUUAACUGCCAAAAUAAAGGCCUGUGGGCCGAUAACUGUAGCAGAUUAUAUGAAAGAAGUGCUCACUCAUCCAACUGCAGGGUAUUACAUGAACAGAGACGUUUUUGGUCAACAUGGUGAUUUUAUAACUUCUCCUGAAAUCAGUCAACUUUUUGGAGAGAUGAUUGGCAUUUGGAUCGUAAAUGAGCUUUCAAAAAUUACCGAAGAUUCUUUUCAGCUCGUUGAACUGGGCCCAGGCCGAGGAACUCUUUGCAAAGAUAUCUUACGUGUUUUAAAACGACUCAAAUUGAUACACAGAGCAUCUAUACACUUAGUGGAGAUAAGUCCAGCUCUGUCAAAAAUACAAUCAGAAAAAUUAUGCGUGUCCAGCAAGGAAUGUCCCCAGGCAGUGUCAAAAAAGGAUAAUUCUGUGAGUCAUUACAGGGAAGGAUUGACAGAAGAAGGAAUCAAAGUCUUCUGGUACAGUUCCAUCAAAGACAUACCAAAAAAGUUCAGCGUCUUUGUGGCUCACGAAUUUUUUGACGCUUUGCCAAUACACAAAUUUCAGAAAACUGGCGACAUUUGGAACGAGGUUUUGAUUGAUAUUGAUCCAAAGACAGAAAACGAGAAAAAAUUUCGUUAUGUAUUGACUAAAAGGGCAACUCCAGCAAGCGCAAUAUUCGUUUCAAGAGACGAAAAAAGAGAUCACGUUGAGGUGAGUCCUCAAACAAUAGUAAUAAUAGAUUACAUGGCCUCGUUUCUCGAGGAAUUUGGAGGAUUCGCGUUGAUCGCGGAUUACGGUCACAAUGGCGAAAAAACAGAUACUUUCCGAUCGUUCCGGCGACACGAACAAUACGAUCCGCUGAUGGAACCGGGAACCGCUGAUCUGACGGCUGACGUGGAUUUUUCGUUGAUCGAUAGAGUCGGUCGAAAGGAAAGCCGUCUCAUAUCGUUCGGCCCGAUGGAUCAAUGCAGCUUUUUGAAAAACUUGGGAAUAGACGUACGAUUGGAGAUGUUAUUAAAAAAUGCAUCUGACGAAGAGAGAAGCCACAUAGAAUCGGGAUAUCAUAUGAUAAUGGACGAGGAUAAAAUGGGCACGCGUUUCAAAGUCUUCUCGUUUUUCCCCAGUGUCCUCGAAGCUUAUUUGGCCCAGUGGCCGGUCGCCGGUUUUUCGAAUCCUCAACAAGAGGCUUCGAAGAAAUAAAUUAACCAACUCUUCGAACCCGUUGGGAGAAUCGCUGACUUGCGAAAAUCUUGAGUGCUCCCCAAAAAAUGAAAGGCUGUCAAUAAAACGAGGCAGAGAUGCGACGAAUCCAAAGUAGUUGAAGCACCGAAGUAGAAACGGCGCCACCGGGACGCCUAGCAAUAGCAAAUCUACAAGUUUUUUUAACGCCGUGUGUACGUCAAGUUUGACACGUUAAUACGUCUCCAUAUAGAGUCCAUAUUAUACGCCAACUCACAUGAGACAUGUUGUGAUGCGAGGGUUGUUAUGGAUACCGUAUACCAUGUUCAACAGACCACAGAGCGCGACAACGAGGCAAGAGGCGGAGAUGAUCAAUAAAGCGCAACGGGCCCUUUCCGGAACAACGGAUAUUAUAGAAAAAUUACGUUUGCUUUGUUUAGCGAGAGGAGCUAAUG